UCAUCAUUGUUGGUUGUCAGUUAUUGUAUUCAAUAUCACAGCCAAUUUUGAUGAGA
rnacentral:pre_miRNA from 1 species